ACGUCACGGCUAUUGUGGCUGUCCCGGUAUAUAAGGUCCCGCCCGCCGGCCGCCCUCCCCACCUUGCCUGCGCCCGCCCGGAGCCAGCGAUCCUUCACGCACCCAGCAUCCAGUGAGACGCGCUGCGCACCGACGGAGCGGACAUGGGCAGAGCGAUGGUGGCCAGGCUCGGACUGGGGCUGCUGCUUCUGGCACUGCUCUUACCUACGCAGAUUUAUUCAAAUCAAACAACUGUUGUAACACCUUCAAGUAAUUCCUCCCAGCAUACCUCAGCUGCCCCCAAUCCAGCGAAUGCCACCACCAAGGCAAGUGACGGUGCUCUGCAGUCAACAGCCAGUCUCUUGGUGAUCUCGGUCUCCCUUCUACAUCUCUACUGUUAAGAGACUCAGGCCAAGAAACAUCUAUACUUCCCCAUCCUCUAAACCCAAUUCAGAUGGCAUCCAGACAUCCAGUGUGACAAGGGAAAAAAAAAACAGGUCUUCAUUGAAUGAAUCUGCUAGUUCCACACCUUAUUUUAUUGACAGAAACUGUUGAGGAUCCCAAAUUUGAUUGGUUUGAAGAGCAUGUGAAGGGUUUGACUAGAUGAUGAAUGCCAAUAUUAAAUCUGCUGGAGUUUCCUGUACAAGAUGAAGAGAGACAACAUCCAAAAUUAGUUAAGAGGUGAUUUCCUUAAAUGUGGCUUAAGAAGUAUGGACACAUAAAACUCUACCUUGAAAGUGAGAAUAGAUUUUAUCUUACCUAGAGAUAAAGAAUGGGAUGUGGAACAGAGAUUCAGUUUUCACUUGUUCAUUAAAUUUAUAAGACCAUAAAACAAUGAGGUAAAACAAAGCUUCUGUGAUUCUAUUUAUAUGUACAUUAGAAGGAACUUCCAGGUGUUACUGUAAAUCCUCAGUGUGUUGUUUCAGCAGUACUAAUUUAAUGCUGAUGUACUCUAGAGAAAAUUUUAUGUUAAGCUAUUGCUGUUCUCUUGGGAACUGAACUCUUUCCCUUGGGGUUUGGGAUUGACAUUGCAUUUGAAUUUUUAUAUAGUCAUUGAUAUGUACCAGGGCAAUGAUGGAUUGGAAUCUACCCCAAAUCCAAGCAUAAUGAGUACAUUUUGCUUAUAUACUUAUCAACUAUUCUUAUUCAAAAAGAGCAGUAGAUUCAUUUAGCUAAACAGAUAACAAAGAGUAGAAUUACAUUGAUCUCAACUAAUUUCAAAAUGCUUUUUAUUUCUGCAUAUGUCGAAUACUUUUUACAAUUUAAAAAAUGAUCUGUUUUGAAGGUAAGAUUGACAAAUCUUGAAAUUAAAAAGGCAAACAUGUGAAGGAGCUAAACAUUUGGCAAGGGAAGGCUGGAAGCUUGCUUACAUUAAAUUCAGAAAAACUUUUAUACUCUUUUCUGUAAAUACUUCUUUUUAAACUGAAUCGGAAUAGCCACAUUUGGAACACUUUAUGUUAUCAUUCAAUAUUUUUAGAUAGUUAGAACCUGGUCCUAAGCCUAAAGUGGGCUUGAUUUUGGAAAGUAGAUCUUUUCACAACUGCCUUGAUGCACAGAAACCUUUUUAAAAAUAGACACUCCCUAAAGUCUUUUGUUCGCAUGGUCACACACUGAUGCUUAGAUGUUCCGAAAUCUAAUAUGGCCACAGUAGUCUUGAUGACCAAAGUCAUUUUUUUUCCAUCUUUAGAAAUCUACACUGGAACAACCAUAUCCAACAGAUCUCAAGCUACUGUGUGUGUGAAUGAACAUUCUCUUUUGUUUCAUACCUGAAUGCUGUACAUCUAUUUUGGAUUGUAUAUUGUGUUUGUGUAUUUAUGCUUUGAUUCAUAGUAACUUCUCUUGUUAUGGAAUUGAUUUGCAUUAAACACAAACUGUAAAUAAAAAGAUGGCUGAAAGAGCAAUCCA